ensembl:misc_RNA Metazoa_SRP Metazoan signal recognition particle RNA
GCUGGGCAUGGUGGCUCAUGCCUGUAAUCCCAGCACUUUGGGAGGCCGAGGCAGGCGGAUCACCUGAGGUCGGGAGUUCGAGACCAGCCUGACCAACAUGGAGAAACCCUGUCUCUA